UGUCGUGUUACAGUAUGAAGAUGCCGUGUUACAAUAUGAGCUUGCUUUACAUGUUACCUCAUCCAUUUGAGAUCCACUAUACGUCAUGCAAAUAAACCGGUUUGCUUCUCUAAUUUGGUACUAAUGUAUAAUGAUGUUUAUGAUUCAAAUUAAGGGAAGAUUGUCUAUAAAGAUGAGCUCUAAAGCAUCAAUUGAGAACUGUCUCUUGCUCACCAUUAGUUUGCACAUGGCAUGCUUGAUAGAAGUCCCCUUUGAGUUCAAAUACAUCUACCGCCAGACGUGCACACUUGUUUGCAACAAGUUCAUAAUUUGAGUUCUGAUAUAGAUGAAGCUGCUGGAUCUUUACACCAAGCUGGAGCAAUCGCUGUUAUGAAGUCCAUGCCAUAUCAUUGAAGGACGCUGAACUUAAUACGUACAAGAUCAAAUUGCUACGGAGAUUUACGACGCCCAACCAGAUCUCAGCUAAAACAUGUCAGAACUGAUGCCCCUUGUUUUACAUGGUCAAUUUUUUUGGAUGACCUUAUAAAUGGAGAAAAUAAAAGCAGUGUAUUUUGUUUUAGAAACAGUCCUAAAAAUUAAAUUGAGUACCUUGCUAAUA